GCCGGGAUAACUCAACUGAUAGAGCAGAGGAUUGAAAAUCCUCAUAUCACUAGUUCAAAUCCAAUUCCUGGCA
rnacentral:tRNA from 1 species